rnacentral:rRNA from 1 species
AAACGACUCUCGGCAACGGAUAUCUCGGCUCUCGCAUCGAUGAAGAACGUAGCGAGAUGCGAUACUUGGUGUGAAUUGCAGAAUCCCGUGAACCAUCGAGUCUUUGAACGCAAGUUGCGCCCGAAGCCUUUAGGCCGAGGGCACGCCUGCCUGGGCGUCACAC